UCGGGUGUGGUGUAUGGUGCACGCGGUUCUUGAUUAGAUGCGUAACUGUUAUCCAAUAGUCAGCUGCAGGUCGGGGUUCGACUCCCCGCGCCCGAA